CAUGACUUCUCCAGGGCAUUCCUAGAAAAGUAGGCUAGGAUAAAGACUUUUUGGAUGUUAGAACUGGUAUGACUUGAGGUCUAGACUUUGCUGAGGAUCGUCUGUGGACCUAAUAAAACCUCUAUGAAAAAUUCACCUCUGUGAAAGCUUUUCAUAAGAUCUGCCUUGUCAGUGAGGCCUAUGAUACUUGCUUACCUGGAAUCAGCAUGGGCCUGUCAUUUCCAGUGUGAGGAGUAAAUUUUUACUCCAGGCAGGAUUAAUGUAUACUGGCUGACCUUAAAUAUGACUCCCAAGUGAGCAGGAUCGUAGUUAAAAGAAGCAGAAGUAAUGGAGCUCACACAGGAAAUGCUGCGAAACAACGCUGCUAAAAAAGCCCAAAUGAUAGCUGUCCUUGACAUGCAAAGAAUUUCUGUUAUU